AGGAGCUCUGCAGGCUGAAGGAGCAAUCUGCAGAGCAGCUGUCCUCUAUGAAGGCCGAGCACCUCAGGGAGUUAGACCAGCUGCGUAUCACCCACGCCCUGGAGCACUCGUCCUCAAAGGUUGCUGAACAGGCCAAUCAGCUCAACACUCAGGAGAUAAUGAUGAGACAUUUGCAAGAGCAACUAAAAGAGCUGCAGGGAACUAAAGAGGCACUGGCAAUAUCCAGGACCCGAGAGAACGCUUUGCAGAAGCAGGUGAGCAG